AACGAACGCUGGCGGCAGGCUUAACACAUGCAAGUCGAACGCAUCCUUCGGGGUGAGUGGCAGACGGGUGAGUAACGCGUGGGAACGUGCCCUUCAGUUCGGGAUAACCCAGGGAAACUUGGGCUAAUACCGGAUACGUGCGAGAGCAGAAAGAUUUAUCGCUGAAGGAUCGGCCCGCGUCUGAUUAGCUAGUUGGUGGGGUAAUGGCCCACCAAGGCGACGAUCAGUAGCUGGUCUGAGAGGAUGAUCAGCCACAUUGGGACUGAGACACGGCCCAAACUCCUACGGGAGGCAGCAGUGGAGAAUAUUGGACAAUGGGCGCAAGCCUGAUCCAGCCAUGCCGCGUGAGUGAUGAAGGCCUUAGGGUUGUAAAGCUCUUUCGUCCGGGACGAUAAUGACGGUACCGGCAUAAGAAGCACCGGCUAACUACGUGCCAGCCGCCGCGGUAA
rnacentral:rRNA from 1 species